rnacentral:rRNA from 1 species
UAGGGAAUAUUGGACAAUGGGUGAGAGCCUGAUCCAGCCAUGCCGCGUGCAGGAAGAAGGCGUUAUGCGUUGUAAACUGCUUUUUGCCAGGGGAUAAAAUGACCGUGCGCGGUUAAUUGAAGGUACCUGGUGAAUAAGCCACGGCUAACUACGUGCCAGCAGCCGCGGUAAUACGUAGGGACCAAGCGUUGUUCGGAUUUACUGGGCGUAAAGGGCGCGUAGGCGGCAAUUCAAGUCAUCUGUGAAAUCUCCGGGCUUAACUCGGAACGGUCAGAUGAUACUGCUUUGCUAGAGUGCAGAAGGGGCAAUCGGAAUUCUUGGUGUAGCGGUGAAAUGCGUAGAUAUCAAGAGGAACACCUGAGGUGAAGACGGGUUGCUGGGCUGACACUGACGCUGAGGUGCGAAAGCCAGGGGAGCAAACGGGAUUAGAUACCCGCGUAGUCCCUGAGCGGGCUGGCAAGGCGCAU